rnacentral:rRNA from 1 species
ACGGAAGGCAGCAGUGGGGAAUAUUGCACAAUGGGGGAAACCCUGAUGCAGCGACGCCGCGUGAGUGAAGAAGUUAUUCGUAAUGUAAAGCUCUAUCAGCAGGGAAGAAAAUGACGGUACCUGACUAAGAAGCCCCGGCUAACUACGUGCCAGCAGCCGCGGUAAUACGUAGGGGGCAAGCGUUAUCCGGAUUUACUGGGUGUAAGGGGAGCGUAGACGGCUUUGUAAGUCUGAUGUGAAAGGCAGGGGCUCAACUCCUGGACUGCAUUGGAAACUACAGAGCUUGAGUGCCGGAGAGGUAAGCGGAAUUCCUAGUGUAGCGGUGAAAUGCGUAGAUAUUAGGAGGAACACCAGUGGCGAAGGCGGCUUACUGGACGGUAACUGACGUUGAGGCUCGAAAGCGUGGGGAGCAAACAGGAUUAGAUACCCUGGUA